rnacentral:rRNA from 1 species
AGCGUACACGGUGGAUGCCCUGGCAGUCAGAGGCGAUGAAGGACGUGCUAAUCUGCGAAAAGCGCCGGCGAGGUGAUAUGAACCUUUGACCCGGCGAUGUCCGAAUGGGGAAACCCAGUGCAAUCCGUUGCACUAUCGUUAACUGAAUACAUAGGUUAACGAGGCGAACCGGGGGAACUGAAACAUCUAAGUACCCCGAGGAAAAGAAAUCAACCGAGAUUCCCCCAGUAGCGGCGAGCGAACGGGGAGCAGCCCGGAGUCUGAAUCAGCUUGUGUGUUAGUGGAACGGUCUGGAAAGUCCGACGGUACAGGGUGAUAGUCCCGUACACGAAAGCACACUUGCUGUGAACUCGAAGAGUAGGGCGGGACACGUGGUAUCCUGUCUGAAUAUGGGGGGACCAUCCUCCAAGGCUAAAUACUCCUGACUGACCGAUAGUGAACCAGUACCGUGAGGGAAAGGCGAAAAGAACCCCGGCGAGGGGAGUGAAAAAGAACCUGAAACCGUGUACGUACAAGCAGUGGGAGCCUCUUUAUGGGGUGACUGCGUACCUUUUGUAUAAUGGGUCAGCGACUUAUAUUCUGUAGCAAGGUUAACCGUAUAGGGGAGCCGAAGGGAAACCGAGUCUUAACUGGGCGUUAAGUUGCAGGGUAUAGACCCGAAACCCGGUGAUCUAGCCAUGGGCAGGUUGAAGGUUGGGUAACACUAACUGGAGGACCGAACCGACUAAUGUUGAAAAAUUAGCGGAUGACCUGUGGCUGGGGGUGAAAGGCCAAUCAAACCGGGAGAUAGCUGGUUCUCCCCGAAAGCUAUUUAGGUAGCGCCUCGUGAACUCAUCUUCGGGGGUAGAGCACUGUUUCGGCUAGGGGGCCAUCCCGGCUUACCAACCCGAUGCAAACUACGAAUACCGAAGAAUGUUAUCACGGGAGACACACGGCGGGUGCUAACGUCCGUCGUGAAGAGGGAAACAACCCAGACCGCCAGCUAAGGUCCCAAAGUCAUGGUUAAGUGGGAAACGAUGUGGGAAGGCACAGACAGCCAGGAUGUUGGCUUAGAAGCAGCCAUCAUUUAAAGAAAGCGUAAUAGCUCACUGGUCGAGUCGGCCUGCGCGGAAGAUGUAACGGGGCUAAACCAUGCACCGAAGCUGCGGCAGCGACGCUUAUGCGUUGUUGGGUAGGGGAGCGUUCUGUAAGCCGUUGAAGGUGUGCUGUGAGGCAUGCUGGAGGUAUCAGAAGUGCGAAUGCUGACAUAAGUAACGAUAAAGCGGGUGAAAAGCCCGCUCGCCGGAAGACCAAGGGUUCCUGUCCAACGUUAAUCGGGGCAGGGUGAGUCGACCCCUAAGGCGAGGCCGAAAGGCGUAGUCGAUGGGAAACAGGUUAAUAUUCCUGUACUUGGUGUUACUGCGAAGGGGGGACGGAGAAGGCUAUGUCAGCCGGGCGACGGUUGUCCCGGUUUAAGCAUGUAGGCGGAGGUUCCAGGUAAAUCCGGUACCUUAUUAACGCUGAGGUGUGAUGACGAGGCACUACGGUGCUGAAGUGAUAAAUGCCCUGCUUCCAGGAAAAGCCUCUAAGCAUCAGGUAACACGAAAUCGUACCCCAAACCGACACAGGUGGUCAGGUAGAGAAUACCAAGGCGCUUGAGAGAACUCGGGUGAAGGAACUAGGCAAAAUGGUGCCGUAACUUCGGGAGAAGGCACGCUGAUAUGUAGGUGAAGUCCCUGCGGACGGAGCUGAAAUCAGUCGAAGAUACCAGCUGGCUGCAACUGUUUAUUAAAAACACAGCACUGUGCAAACACGAAAGUGGACGUAUACGGUGUGACGCCUGCCCGGUGCCGGAAGGUUAAUUGAUGGGGUUAGCGGCAACGCGAAGCUCUUGAUCGAAGCCCCGGUAAACGGCGGCCGUAACUAUAACGGUCCUAAGGUAGCGAAAUUCCUUGUCGGGUAAGUUCCGACCUGCACGAAUGGCGUAAUGAUGGCCAGGCUGUCUCCACCCGAGACUCAGUGAAAUUGAACUCGCUGUGAAGAUGCAGUGUACCCGCGGCAAGACGGAAAGACCCCGUGAACCUUUACUAUAGCUUGACACUGAACACUGGUCCUUGAUGUGUAGGAUAGGUGGGAGGCUUUGAAGCGUGGACGCCAGUCUGCGUGGAGCCAACCUUGAAAUACCACCCUUUAAUGGCUGGUGUUCUAACGUAGACCCGUAAUCCGGGUUGCGGACAGUGUCUGGUGGGUAGUUUGACUGGGGCGGUCUCCUCCCAAAGAGUAACGGAGGAGCACGAAGGUUGGCUAAUCCUGGUCGGACAUCAGGAGGUUAGUGCAAUGGCAUAAGCCAGCUUGACUGCGAGCGUGACGGCGCGAGCAGGUGCGAAAGCAGGUCAUAGUGAUCCGGUGGUUCUGAAUGGAAGGGCCAUCGCUCAACGGAUAAAAGGUACUCCGGGGAUAACAGGCUGAUACCGCCCAAGAGUUCAUAUCGACGGCGGUGUUUGGCACCUCGAUGUCGGCUCAUCACAUCCUGGGGCUGAAGUAGGUCCCAAGGGUAUGGCUGUUCGCCAUUUAAAGUGGUACGCGAGCUGGGUUUAGAACGUCGUGAGACAGUUCGGUCCCUAUCUGCCGUGGGCGCUGGAGAAUUGAGGGGGGCUGCUCCUAGUACGAGAGGACCGGAGUGGACGCAUCACUGGUGUUCGGGUUGUCAUGCCAAUGGCACUGCCCGGUAGCUAAAUGCGGAAGAGAUAAGUGCUGAAAGCAUCUAAGCACGAAACUUGCCCCGAGAUGAGUUCUCCCUGAGACCUUGA